rnacentral:lncRNA from 1 species
UUGGUUUUCAGUUGUAUAAGCAUUGGUACAUCUCAUUUCCAUGGAGAAUAUUUGACCUAACCCCUCAGUCACAGUCUAAUGACUUUGAAACUUAUCUUAGUUUACAUGUAUUAGUUUGUGAUUAGACCAGUUUAAGAUGAACUGCUAAUGUUUCGUCAAUGAAAUUUGGUAUGCAAAUUUAUUGGCAUUUGCAAGUAUUGUUUCCAUGGAGAUUAUAAAGCCCCACCCCCUCUUCAUGGUUCAUUGACUUUGAAGCUUUUACAUAGUUUACAAGUUAAUGUUUGUAUUUAGGUUUGGGAACGACUUAUCAAAAGUCAAUGGUAUUGGGUAUGCAGUUGUAUUAGCAUUGGCACAUCUCAUUUACAUGGAGAUUGUUUAGCCAAUUAACUCAGUCAUGGUUCAUUGACUUUCAAUAUUUGCAUAACUUGUGUAAGAUGUUAAAGUAUUGCUAUUUUGAUUUCAACAUUUGCAUAAUCAAAAUUACAAAAAAAGGCGAGACAUAACUCUGUGAUAACAGUUUAUGUUAAAGUUGUAUAAAUCACAACCGGGCAUUUGCUGGUGUGCAAAAUAUGUGAUAUAAUCAGAA